rnacentral:lncRNA from 1 species
AUCCACUAUGGUGGCAAGAAGCUUCAGCAGAGCCUCAAGGACCUGGCUUCUCAGGCUGCAAUUCAUCACUCCCUUCCCAUCAGGCCCUUGGGCAGCCUCUUCCGUCUGAAGACCUCCACGCCACCAUCUAAAAUCAGCUGCAGAAAUCCAGCACUCAGGAACUUUCUACCUCUACUUUCCUCCCUCCCUGUUGCUGGAAUUUCCAACCCCAAUAAUUCCAUAUAAUAAACCACAAUCCAGUUA